rnacentral:rRNA from 2 species
UGCAGUCGAGCGGACAGAUGGGAGCUUGCUCCCUGAUGUUAGCGGCGGACGGGUGAGUAACACGUGGGUAACCUGCCUGUAAGACUGGGAUAACUCCGGGAAACCGGGGCUAAUACCGGAUGGUUGUUUGAACCGCAUGGUUCAAACAUAAAAGGUGGCUUCGGCUACCACUUACAGAUGGACCCGCGGCGCAUUAGCUAGUUGGUGAGGUAACGGCUCACCAAGGCAACGAUGCGUAGCCGACCUGAGAGGGUGAUCGGCCACACUGGGACUGAGACACGGCCCAGACUCCUACGGGAGGCAGCAGUAGGGAAUCUUCCGCAAUGGACGAAAGUCUGACGGAGCAACGCCGCGUGAGUGAUGAAGGUUUUCGGAUCGUAAAGCUCUGUUGUUAGGGAAGAACAAGUACCGUUCGAAUAGGGCGGUACCUUGACGGUACCUAACCAGAAAGCCACGGCUAACUACGUGCCAGCAGCCGCGGUAAUACGUAGGUGGCAAGCGUUGUCCGGAAUUAUUGGGCGUAAAGGGCUCGCAGGCGGUUUCUUAAGUCUGAUGU